rnacentral:rRNA from 1 species
GACGAACGCUGGCGGCGCGCCUAACACAUGCAAGUCGAACGAAGAUAUUCGCUGAGAAACACUUCGGUGUGGAUCUUGGGUAUCUUAGUGGCGGACGGGUGAGUAACACGUGAGCAACCUGCCUUAAAGAGGGGGAUAACGUCUGGAAACGGACGCUAAUACCGCAUAAAAUAUCGGGGUGGCAUCAUUCUGAUAUCAAAGGAGCAAUCCGCUUUAAGAUGGGCUCGCGCCCGAUUAGAUAGUUGGUGAGGUAAAGGCUCACCAAGUCGACGAUCGGUAGCCGGACUGAGAGGUUGAUCGGCCACAUUGGGACUGAGACACGGCCCAGACUCCUACGGGAGGCAGCAGUGGGGGAUAUUGCACAAUGGGGGAAACCCUGAUGCAGCGACGCCGCGUGGGUGAAGACGGCCUUCGGGUUGUAAAGCCCUGUUAAGGGGGACGAUAAUGACGGUACCCCUUUAGAAAGCCACGGCUAACUACGUGCCAGCCGCCGC